UAAUACGGAGGAUCCAAGCGUUAUCCGGAUUUAUUGGGUUUAAAGGGUGCGUAGGCGGAUGAAUAAGUCAGUGGUGAAAGCCUGCAGCUUAACUGCAGAACUGCCAUUGAUACUGUUCGUCUUGAAUAUGGUUGAGGUGGGCGGAAUAUGACAUGUAGUGGUGAAAUACUUAGAUAUGUCAUAGAACACCGAUUGCGAAGGCAGCUCACUAAGCCAUGAUUGACGCUGAGGCACGAAAGCGUGGGAGCAAACAGGAUUAGAUACCCUGGUAGUCCACGCCCUAAACUAUGAUCACUCGAUGUUGGCGAUACACUGUCAGCGUCUAAGGGAAGCCAUUAAGUGAUCCACCUGGGGAGUACGACCGCAAGGUUGAAACUCAAAGGAAUUGACGGGGGCCCGCACAAGCGGAGGAGCAUGUGGUUUAAUUCGAUGAUACGCGAGGAACCUUACCUGGGCUUGAAAGUUAGUGAAUCUCCUUGAAAGGGGAGAGGCC
rnacentral:rRNA from 1 species